rnacentral:misc_RNA from 1 species
AUAUUUAUGAAUUUUUAAAGUUUAAAUUUGACUACAAAUUAUAUUUCAAAAAUAAUGAAUUAAAAUUUUUUUGUUUGGUGGUAAAAGUGCUCUUUAUCUAAUUUUAUGUUGCUUUAUAAUUUUUCCUUUUCAGAGUCAUUUUAUGAGUUUUUUUAGAAAAAUGUAAUUUCAUUAUUUUAAUACAUAGAUACAAACAUAAUACAACAUAAGUAUA